UAUUUUUCUAGAGAUCCCUCCAUGCCUGAGUCCUUCUGAAGAGCUGGUUGAGGUCAGUCAGACAUUCUGCCCAGGAUUGGAGUUUCCUUAAAAGAAUUAAGAUCAUCAGAGAUGCAUCUGUGUUGGGGAAACAGAAACCUGUUCUGAAGUGCUGUCAUCACAUUCAGUAUCAAGAGCAUACAGAUUUUGUGCUACCUUGCUGCAUGGCUGCAUGUCACUUCUCCAUCUGUGGGGGAGCUGAGACCAAACUCCAAAGACCCAUUGAAGAUAUGCCCUGUGUAGGUUAGAGGGGACAACUGGAAGUUGGCAGUUCUCCUGUGGAAAAAAUUGUGCAUGCUCCUUGGGAAGGACAGGGAGAGCGGGGGCACAUCUGCCAGCCGUGGACACUGGGACUCCUGCAUUGUGCUUGGUGGCAACCCACUUGGCAGUGGAGGCUGGGAUUUGCAACCUCGUAGCUCCUUCCCUCUGCGGCCCUCACUAUGGGGACACCCUGUUUCCUGACCCAAGUGAGUUCACAUGUGAUCUGCAUGGGCAGAAGCAGACCCAGCACCUCCCUGUACUAAUCGAGGAGACUGAUCUUUCCUGCAGCUUGCCAGUAUGAACAUAUCCUUUGUGUCUUGAACCUUACCUUUGUAUUUCACAAGUAUCUGGAACUUUUAGAAAGCUUUUCUUCUGUGACCAAGAAAGUCUACUUUGUGAAGAAAAAUACAUGCAAGAUCAAGCUGUUGGAAGGCUGCUGAGUUAUUCAGGCUCUGCCAUGGGUUAUGUGCGACAGCAUUGCCCCUGCGGUACAGUGCCGCAAGCCUAGCUCAUUCCCACUGCAGGUCUCUGACACGUGUGUCUUUUCCCACUACUAUAUGAGGAUAUAUUUGGAGAUAUGAGAAAGAAGAUAUAUUUGGAGAAUAUACGAGAAAUAAGUACUUCUAAUGAAUGUUGCUAAAGCUUUAGUAGUCUUGGAUGUUUCACAAAUAUUAAGUCAUGAGAAACUUUUAUCUGUGGCCAAACAUGCCUCAUUAUUUAAACAGUUAUCUCCCUCACUUUGAAGUCAGCUAUUUCAACACACCAGGUAGUCUGAUUAUCUCUGAGCUGCAUCAUUUAGCAGGCAGAUAGCUUCUCUGUGACAAAACAUAGCAAUCCCAUAGGUAUGAAAUAACGGAUAGAAUUACAUCAGGCUCUAAGACAAUUACCUCAAAUCCAUAUUUUCAGAUUGCUUACAGUAGGAUCACAAACACAACCAGCUUCUCCCACUGAUCUGGUGGGACUUACGAUUUGCACUGUCACAUUCUCACCCAGCUUGCAUCAGUUUGUCCUUAAAAAUGCUGGCUGCCAUUAGUGUUGAGCAAGGCCUUCAUUCCCAGCACGUGCACUGGGUUACAGGUUUCAACUUCGGUUCUGGCUACAGACUGAGUCCUCCAAGAGUGGUGACUUUGACAUAUAUGGACUAGUACACAGGGGUUUGGCCAUGGCUCCUUCUGUCUAGCUGUAGUAAUCAUUUUGAAGUGGAAAAAAAAAAUGUUUUUAAGCAGUUCUUUUUCAUAUAACUAGGAAGAAAGUGGUCAGCUAGAGGUUUUAGCUACAUUUUUGUUUUUGUCUCCUCAGUGAGACAAUGUCCCAUUUCAGUGAACAGAGGUAGGCCGAUGCCUUCCGCCAAUUUG